rnacentral:rRNA from 1 species
GAUCCUGCCGGACCCUACUGCUAUCGGGGUGGGACUAAGACAGGCGAGUUGAACGACUUCUAGCCAUGAUGAAGUCGUAGCAUACGGCUCAGUAACACGUGGCUAACCUACCCUUGAGACGGAGACAACCCGGGAAACUGGGGCUAAUCUCAGAUAGAUGAGAACUCCUGGAACGGGUUCUCGUUCAAAGGGCGUCUAGGCCAUGCUUCUAGAUGUUGCUCAAGGAUGGGGCCGCGACCGAUCAGGCUGUUGGUGAGGCAACGGCUCACCAAACCUUUAACCGGUACGGGCCGUGGGAGCGGGAGCCCGGAGAUGGGAACUGAGACAAGGUCCCAGGCCCUACGGGGCGCAGCCGUUGCGAAAACUUGUCAAUGCACGAAAGUGUGAACGGGCUACCCCGAGUGCUGUCCGCUGAGGAUGGCUUUUCUCUGCUGUUAAAAGGCGGGGGAAUAAGGAGAGGGCAAGUCUGGUGUCAGCCGCCGCGGUAAUACCAGCUCUCCGAGUGGUGGGGAUGUUUAUUGGGCUUAAAGCGUCCGUAGCCUGCUUUUCAAGUCUCUCGUUAAAUCCGGCGAUUCAAUCGUUGGACUGCGGGAGAUACUGUUAGGCUAGGAGGCGGGAGAAGCCGACGGUAUUUCCGGGGUAGGGGUAAAAUCCUAUAAUCCCGGGAGGACCACCAGUGGCGUAGGCGGUCGGCUAGCACGCGCUCGACGGUGAGGGACGAAAGCUGGGGGAGCAAACCGGAUUAGAUACCCGGAUAGUCCCAGCUGUAAACGUUGCGGGCUAGGUGUUGGGGUGGCCACGAGCCACUUCAGUGCCGCAGGGAAGCCAUUAAGCCCGCCGCCUGGGGAGUACGGCCGCAAGGCUGAAACUUAAAGGAAUUGGCGGGGGAGCACCACAAGGGGUGAAGCUUGCGGUUCAAUUGGAGUCAACGCCGGG